rnacentral:rRNA from 1 species
AUUGAACGCUGGCGGCAUGCCUAACACAUGCAAGUCGAACGGUAACAGGAAGAAGCUUGCUUCUUUGCUUACGAGUGGCGGACGUGUGUGUCAUGUCUGUGAAACUGCCUGAUGGCGGGGGUUAACUACUGGAAACGGUAGUUAUUACCGCAUAUCGUCUCAAGCCCAUAGUGCGGGACUUUCGGGCCUCUUUCCUUUCGCUUUUCCCUGAUUGCAUUAGCUAGUAGGUGGGGUAACGGCUCACCUAGGCCACGAUCCCUAGCUGGUCUGAGAGGAUGACCAGCCACACUGGAACUGAGACACGGUCCAGACUCCUACGGGAGGCAGCAGUAGGGAAUAUUGCACAAUGGGCGAAAGCCUGAUGCAGCCAUGCCGCGUGUAUGAAGAAGGCCUUCGGGUUGUAAAGUACUUUCAGCGGGGAGGAAGGGAGUAGAGUUAAUACCUGUACACAUUGACGUUACCCGCAGAAGAAGCACCGGCUAACUACGUG